GUUGACCUCGGAUCAGGUAGGAAUACCCGCUGAA
rnacentral:rRNA from 46 species